AAGUCGUAACAAGGUUUCCGUAGGUGAACCUGCGGUUGGAUCAUUAUAAAAUGAUUGACUGGGAGGCUUGAGAUCUUCGAGUUCUCGCUGACCGGCAACAACCACUGUGCAACAUAUUGUAUUUGGGUAGGAAUUGUAAAGACUUUUGUCUGCCAUGAACUACCCGGCCAUUAUUAACAUUUUUAUUUUUAUGACUGAUUUUUUAUUCUUAAUGAAUUAAAUACAACUUUUAACAACGGAUCUCUAGGCUCUC
rnacentral:misc_RNA from 1 species